UACGUAGGGGGCAAGCGUUAUCCGGAUUUACUGGGUGUAAAGGGAGUGCAGACGGCAGUGCAAGUCUGGAGUGAAAGCCCGGGGCCCAACCCCGGAACUGCUCUGGAAACUGUGCGGCUAGAGUACUGGAGGGGCAGGCGGAAUUCCUAGUGUAGCGGUGAAAUGCGUAGAUAUUAGGAGGAACACCAGUGGCGAAGGCGGCCUGCUGGACAGUAACUGACGUUGAGGCUCGAAAGCGUGGGGAGCAAACAGG
rnacentral:rRNA from 1 species